rnacentral:rRNA from 1 species
UGGGGAAUAUUGGGCAAUGCCCGCAAGGGUGACCCAGCAACGCCGCGUGGAGGAUGAAUGUCGUAAGAUUGUAAACUCCUGUUAGAGGGGAAGAAUAGUACCGGUUGGACCGGUAUAUGACUGUACCCUCAGAGAAAGCCCCGGCUAACUACGUGCCAGCAGCCGCGGUAAUACGUAGGGGGCAAGCGUUGUCCGGAUUUACUGGGUGUAAAGGGCGCGCAGGCGGGAUAAAAAGUCAGUGGUGAAAUCCUACAGCUUAACUGUAGAACUGCCUUUGAUACUUUUAUUCUUGAGUUCGGGAGAGAGAGACGGAAUUCCAGGUGUAGCGGUGAAAUACGUAGAUAUCUGGAAGAACACCAGUUGCGAAGGCGGUCUCUUGGUCCGACACUGACGCUGAGGCGCGAAAGCGUGGGGAGCAAAC